rnacentral:misc_RNA from 1 species
UCUCCGUAGGUGAACCUGCGGAGGGAUCAUUACAGAGUUCAUGCCCUACCGGGUAGAUCUCCCACCCUAUGUUAUUAUUACUUUGUUGCUUUGGCGGGCCGUUAGGCUCCGGCCCGACCACCGGCCCUGGCUGGUAAGCGCCCGCCAGAGGACCCAAAACCCUGAAUAUUAGUGUCGUCUGAGUACUAUAUAAUAGUUAAAACUUUCAACAACGGAUCUCUUGGUUCUGGCAUCGAUGAAGAACGCGGC